rnacentral:rRNA from 1 species
ACUCCUACGGGAGGCAGCAGUGGGGGAUAUUGCACAAUGGAGGAAAAUCUGAUGCAGCGACGCCGCGUGAGGGAAGAAGGUCCUCGGAUUGUAAACCUCUGUCUUUGGGGACGAACAAAUGACGGUACCCAAGGAGGAAGCCACGGCUAACUACGUGCCAGCAGCCGCGGUAAU